rnacentral:lncRNA from 1 species
CUCCACCGAAGCUUCUUGCCUGCGCUGCUGCUCCCCCGGGGUCUGGCCUGACCCUAAACCCGGGCUUAGCCACGCCCCCUUCCCGUCCCGCCCCCUCUCCGGGCCAAUCGGGACCGGCGGCCCGGGCGGGGCCGAAGUCGGGGCGGGGCCUCGCCCUCCCACUACCCACGGCGGCGCCUGCGGCUCCGGAAACGCGCCGCUGGGCUGCUAGGCUCAGCAGUGCGCUAGCUGCUCCGUGGCGCUUCCUGCCACGCGAGGCCUGGGCCUCGCCAGCGCUGCUCCGUCAAGGGCCGCGCGUCGGCCGCCGCCAGGCUAGGGAUUCAGUGACGUUUGGUAAUGUGGCACAAUACCUCAUCAAACGGAGUGAUUGAAGCUGGACCCUGAGCAGAGGACCUCAGCAUAUUGAAGAAACGUGAUAUCUGUGGGUAAGGAUGACCCCAGCCCUUCCACAAGAUUUGCCACCAGCUUCGUGGUCCUACGGAGCUGGGAGUGGGAUAAGGGGACACCUGACAGUCUAGUCCCACACAGGCCCAACUUCCAGCUUAUGCUCCCUGGGAAUAGGCUGUAAGGAAAUACAGAGGGUCUGCUACACACAACCUGUCAAAGUAGCGGGUAUCCCUCCCAACUCAUAACGGCUUAUAAAGAAGUUAGAACAAACUGGCCACCAUAAUGAAAUACUUUUUUAACCCACAAAUUAUGUAAAUUGUAUGGGAACUUUAUUGUAGUUUACUGUUGUUUUUUUUUUAAUUUUAUUUUAUUUUUAAACUUUACAUAAUUGUAUUAGUUUUGCCAAAUAUCAUAAUGAAUCCACCACAGGUAUAUAUGUGUUGAGAGAGGCUGACAUGGCAAGCUCCUUAGCACCACAAGGGGCUGCAUGUGUGAGGUGGGAGGCUUCUUAGGAGGAGACUGCCAGGGAUCAGCUUUGAUAGUUAUGGAAGGACCCCAAGUUCAGUGUGCAGACCUUAAAGAGAGUGGACAGGGGAAAGGGAGGAUCCACCCCCCAGGAAGACGACCUGGUGCUCUAUGUGGAUAGACCCAGAGCUUGCUUCAUCCAGCCCCUGGAAGGAGCUGACCAUUGGGAAAGGCAUUUGAUAUUAAUGGAUGACUUGCCUAAGGGAACAGCCACUCCAGCCUUUGAGGAUUGAAAGCUUCCCCUUCAAAGGCCCCAACCUGAUAUCAUCUCUGGCUGCUGC